AGUGAACGCUGGCGGCAUGCCUAACACAUGCAAGUCGAACGACCGCACAGUGAGAUCUUUCUCUUACGGUUGGCGAGUGACGGACGAGUGACACAUAAAUCGCAAUCUACUUUUUCUUGGGUAAUAACGUAGGAAAACUUACGCUAAUACCUCAUACGACCUACGGCUUGAAUCAGUAGUUCUUCGCACCUUUCCCGACUGUAUGAGCCGAUGUCGGAUUAGCUAGUUGGCUGGGUAAGGUCCCACCAAGGCGACGAUCCGUAGCGGGUCUGAGAGGAUGAUCAGCCACACUGGAACUGAGACACGGUCCAGACUCCUACGGGAGGCAGCAGUGGGGAAUAUUGGACAAUGGGCGAAAGCCUGAUCCAGCAAUACCGCGUGAGUGAAGAAGGUCUUCGGGUUGUAAAGCCCUUUUGUUGGGAAAGAAAAGAAGUAGGAUAAUCCAUCGAUGUUCUGACGGUACCCAAAGAAUAAGCAACGGCUAACUUCGUG
rnacentral:rRNA from 1 species